CAAUCUACUGAUUUCUACCAAGCUUAGUGGGAGAAUACAUUUCUCCGCUUGUGCGCUCUUAAUAAAUCAAGAAAGAAAAACACAUGGGAUCCAGAAAAUGUCAGGGAAGACACCGAGGGAAGGCAAAAAGGAAUUCAAGCAAAGCUCCGUGGUGCUCAGUGCACAGUUCGUCCUAGCAGAUGGAAGCCUCAGAACACUGGCAAUUUAGCACGAUGACAUCAGCAUGAUUAUUCUCCAGAAUCAUCAAAAACGUCUGGUGUCCAGAGCCAAAAUAUCAAAGACCCUGCCAUAGUCUCGGAAAGACUCACCCUUUACCACGCCUCAGAGAUGGCCAAGCCUAGCACCAACAGUGAAGUCUACUCAACAAGCAGAGAGGGGGGCUUUCAUCAGGUGCAGAAAACAGCUCUCCCGGUGCUACAGGGUUGCUCAUGGCUUUGUAUUCUGAAAGAGGAGUAUCUCAUCUCUUGGGAGGUCAAGCUAGAAUGCUUGUGCUUAUAGACUGUGAAAUUUUCUAAUAAACUAGAAAUUUGGGUUGCGUUUUUUUUGGAUAAAUAAGGAGAAAAGGAAGUCUCUACUACUAGGAGUUUAAAUGUCUGACAGACAUAGAUUCCAGAAAAGCAUUUCAUCUCAAUUAAGACAAAAAGAAAUCUAUGUACAUAUUUUCUCGUACACAAGCCAGUCUUAAGGAAGUGGUUUAUAAGUGCAUGGCUUAUUUUUAUCUGUAUGAAGAAUAACAAAAAAGUAUCCUAGUGAAGUAGAAAUUUUCAAGUCUAACCUAUUUCAGGUUCUUGAUCACUGAUUAUUCUCAUGUAUUUUAUUAUCAUCUUCAGAAACCCAUAUUAAUACCUGGAAGAUAUCAGCACAAUCGGAGCAAUGCCCUCUCUAAAAGUGUGUAACAUGUCAAAGCAUUUUACAUCAAUUAUCGUUUCCUUUGUUACAAUGUGUCAAAGAAAGGUAAUUUCCUGGAAAAAAAAACCACUAAGGUAAAAUCAUGAGAAUGAGAUAACUGAAGAUGCUUAUGAAAUGAAAAAAAUCUAUCUGCCAUUAGCUGUGUUCUUGUUAAAAUCGUAAUUAUGUUGUCUCCCAAUAAAUAAAAGAUGUUGU